GACGAACGCUGGCGGCGUGCUUCCCUCUUGAAAGUCAAACGAAAAAAUUGAAAGCUUGCUCUUGAGAUUCGAGGGGCAAACGGGUGAGUAACGCGUAAACUCCCUGCCUUUGAGAUGGGGACAACAGUUCGAAAGGACUGCUAAUACCGAAUGUUGUAUAUUUUCCACAUGGAAAAUAUAUUAAAGAUGGCCUCUAUUUAUAAGCUAUCGCUCAAAGAUGGGUCUGCGUCUGAUUAGCUAGUUGGGGGGGUAACGGCCUACCAAGGCGACAAUCAGUAGCCGGUCUGAGAGGAUGAACGGCCACUUUGGGACUGAAACACGGCCCAAACUCUUACGGGAGGCAGCAGGGGGGAAUAUUGGACAAGGGGGGGAACCCUGAUCCACCCAUGCCGCGUGUGUGAAGAAGGCCUUUUGGUUGUAAAGCACUUUAAGCGAGGAGGAGGCUACUCUAUUUAU
rnacentral:rRNA from 1 species